AUUGAACGCUGGCGGCAGGCCUAACACAUGCAAGUCGAACGAGUGGCGGACGGGUGAGUAAUGUCUGGGAAACUGCCUGAUGGAGGGGGAUAACUACUGGAAACGGUAGCUAAUACCGCAUACCAUCGGAUGUGCCCAGCUGGGAUUAGCUAGUAGGUGGGGUAACGGCUCACCUGGGACACGAUCCCUAGCUGGUCUGAGAGGAUGACCAGCAAAACUUGAACUGAGACACGGUCCAGACUCCUACGGGAGGCAGCAGGGGGGAAUAUUGCACAAUGGGAGCAAGCCUGAUGCAGCCAUGCCGCGUGUAUGAAGAAGGCCUUCGGGUUGUAAAGUACUUUCAGCGGGGAGGCGUUACCCGCAGAAGAAGCACCGGCUAACUCCGUGCCAGCCGCCGCGGUAAUUC
rnacentral:rRNA from 1 species